rnacentral:misc_RNA from 1 species
UCGCGGCUUAUCACCGGCAGUCCCCUUAGAGUGCCCAACUGAAUGAUGGCAACUAAGGGCGAGGGUUGCGCUCGUUGCGGGACUUAACCCAACAUCUCACGACACGAGCUGACGACAGCCAUGCAGCACCUGUCUCUAGGUUCCCGAAGGCACUCCUCUAUCUCUAAAGGAUUCCUAGGAUGUCAAGAGUAGGUAAGGUUCUUCGCGUUGCAUCGAAUUAAACCACAUGCUCCACCGCUUGUGCGGGCCCCCGUCAAUUUCUUUGAGUUUUAACCUUGCGGCCGUACUCCCCAGGCGGAGAACUUAACGCGUUAGCUUCGCCACUAAAAGAAAUUAAUCUUCCAACGGCUAGUUCUCAUCGUUGACGGCGUGGACUAC